rnacentral:lncRNA from 1 species
CACUAUCAGCCAGGUGGGACCGGGCGGAGCUAAGGAGGCUUCCUCAGGUGAGCAGUGUUGUGGGAGGGCAGAAUUGGGCCUCCUCAGGCCCGUCCCCUCCCCUCGUCCUGGGGUCCUGUUGGUAGUUUGGGGCAGAUCCCCGGGGUGCUUGGGGCUCCUCCAGGCAGGCAGCGGGUGAGGGUAGACAGAGCCCCGAGGAGUCGUGGAGCCCAAGUCUCGGGACUUUUCUUGCCUUAGGAGUCAGUGACGUUCAGGGACGUGGCUGUGAGCUUCACCCUGGAGGAGUGGGGCCUGUUGGAGCCUUCUCAGAGAGAGCUGUACCGGGAGGUCAUGCUGGAGAACGCCCAGAACGUGCUCUGCGCGGUGGAGCAUGGCCAGAUACAAAGAAGAAAUGGAUCUCAUUUUUGGUGAGAAAGUCUUGCAUUUU